rnacentral:rRNA from 1 species
UACGUAGGUGGUAAGCGUUGUCCGGAAUUACUGGGCGUAAAGAGCGCGUAGGCGGCGUCUUAAGUCAGAUGUGAAAACCCGGGGCUCAACUUCGGGACUGCAUUUGAAACUGGGAUGCUUGAGUGUCGGAGAGGAAAGCGGAAUUCCUAGUGUAGCGGUGAAAUGCGUAGAUAUUAGGAGGAACACCAGUGGCGAAGGCGGCUUUCUGGACGAUAACUGACGCUGAGGCGCGAAAGCGUGGGGAGCAAACAGG